rnacentral:rRNA from 1 species
GACGAACGCUGGCGGCGUGCUUAACACAUGCAAGUCGAACGGAAAGGCCCUUCUUUUGUGGGGUGCUCGAGUGUCGAACGUGUGAGUCACACGUUAGUAACCUGCCCUUGACUUUGGGAUAACUUCAGUAAACUGUGGCUAAUACCGGAUAGGAGCUCCUGCUGCAUGGUGGGGGUUUGAAAGUUUGGGCGGUUGUGGAUGGACUCUCGGCUUAUCAGCUUGUUGGUGGGGUAGUGUCUUACCAAGUCUUUGACGGGUAGCCGGCCUGAGCGGGUGACCGGCAACAUUGGGACUGAGAUACGGCGCAGAAUACUACGGGAGGCAGCAGUGGGGAAUAUUGCACAAUGGGCGGAAGCAUGAUGCAGCAACGACGCGUGGGGGAUGAAGGCCUUCGGGGUGUAAAGAGCUUUCGCCUGUGAAGAAGAGGGAGUGACGGUAAUGGGUAAAGAAGCACCGGCUAACUACGUG